CAUCUGAGGUGUUGCAAAGUGUCUCCAUCCCUUGAUUUUUCAUUAUUCUCCUUGUGACAAGGCUGAGAGUGUAGCAGAACUGCAGCACAGGGCCGUUGUGUUAGUGUCUGUCAUUAGCUGCUGAACUGAGUUCUCCUGUCCCGUCACGUUGGCAGUUUCUUUGAUUUGUUUCUGUCCUGAUUGCCGCCUCCUUGUGAAGAGUUUUUUUUUUCGAUGCGGCUUUUAAAGAAACUAUCAUCAAAGCAGCCAUGUCCAACUGUGAAGACAAACAGCUGGAUUGUUAUCCUGCCAGAGAUCCAGGAAGCCAGAGCCUAAAGUUUCAUGGAUAUCAGCUGAGGUCUGAGGUAGCUGUUGUUCAUGCUGACGGUGGACCGCGACAUUCUGACAGCGAGAAGAAGCUUAAAGCUCUCACUUAAUCCCGUGACGGCCAUUACAGCAGAAUGGCCAUGUUUCAGGCAGGGAGAAAAGAGAGUGGUGGCAUCUAAAGUGGUGGAUUAUGGGGGGAUUAGCGGCUCAUCUGCCUGCCGAGGGGCUGAUUAAUCCAGCUGCUUGGGUUGUUCAGGUUCAGGGGUUGGACGGUGUGAGGGGGGAUUCGAGGAUAACAAACAGGUUAGAAAAAUAUUGGUUAGAGAUUAGCAGGAUGGGAAAUAAAGCUAGUCAUUAUCAACAUCA